UACGGGGGGAGCAAGCGUUGUUCGGAUUUACUGGGCGUAAAGGGCGCGUAGGCGGCCAGCGCAAGUCAGUUGUGAAAUCUCCGGGCUUAACUCGGAACGGUCAACUGAUACUGCGCGGCUAGAGUGCAGAAGGGGCAACUGGAAUUCUUGGUGUAGCGGUGAAAUGCGUAGAUAUCAAGAGGAACACCUGAGGUGAAGACGGGUUGCUGGGCCAACACUGACGCUGAGGCGCGAAAGCCAGGGGAGCAAACGGG
rnacentral:rRNA from 1 species